UGCCAGACUCCUACGGGAGGCAGCAGUGGGGAAUAUUGCACAAUGGGGGAAACCCUGAUGCAGCGACGCCGCGUGAGCGAUGAAGUAUUUCGGUAUGUAAAGCUCUAUCAGCAGGGAAGAAAAUGACAGUACCUGACUAAGAAGCCCCGGCUAACUACGUGCCAGCAGCCGCGGUAAUACGUAGGGGGCAAGCGUUAUCCGGAUUUACUGGGUGUAAAGGGAGCGUAGACGGCGAUGCAAGCCAGAUGUGAAAGCCCGGGGCUCAACCCCGGGACUGCAUUUGGAACUGUGUGGCUGGAGUGUCGGAGAGGCAAGUGGAAUUCCUAGUGUAGCGGUGAAAUGCGUAGAUAUUAGGAGGAACACCAGUGGCGAAGGCGGCUUGCUGGACGAUGACUGACGUUGAGGCUCGAAAGCGUGGGGAGCAAACAGGAUUAGAUACCCCGGUACC
rnacentral:rRNA from 1 species